CCUACGGGAGGCAGCAGUGGGGAAUAUUGGGCAAUGGGCGCAAGCCUGAUCCAGCAACGCCGCGUGAAGGAAGAAGGCUUUCGGGUUGUAAACUUCUUUUGUCAGGGACGAAGCACGUGACGGUACCUGACGAAUCAGCACCGGCUAAAUACGUGCCAGCAGCCGCGGUAAUACGUAGGGGGCAAGCGUUAUCCGGAUUUACUGGGUGUAAAGGGCGUGUAGGCGGGACUGCAAGUCAGAUGUGAAAACCACGGGCUCAACCUGUGGCCUGCUUUGGAAACUGUAGAUCUUGAGUACAGGAGAGGCAGACGGAAUUCCUAGUGUAGCGGUGAAAUGCGUAGAUAUUAGGAGGAACACCAGUGGCGAAGGCGGUCUACUGGACAGCAACUGACGUUGAGGCGCGAAAGCGUGGGGAGCAAACAGGAUUAGAUACCCUAGUAGUC
rnacentral:rRNA from 1 species